ensembl:lncRNA
GACCAAUCAACACCAAACUUUGCGCACGGCAUCUUCAGAUGCACACGCAAAGAAAUCAUAGACACUUUUUUGAUCCGACCUUCGACGACGAAACCUAUUCAGUCUAUUCAAUACUUCAUUCACUGCCUCUUCCGUGGUCAUUACAAUAUUAUGAAUAUACUGCGUCGGGGCCUCCGACGUCUCUCCCUCUUCCACAAAAGAUUGACAUAUCAGUCAUCAGAGAAUUGGAUGCUCAAGGAUGUCCCUUCUUGAAAAACUGAGAAAGAAACUUAGGACAAAAACAGCAAGCCAUGAUGAGGAGUCUGAAGAGGACCCUGGGCCUUCAAGAAGCGCAAAAAUAAUGCUAUAGCCUAUAUGUAGGCCUAUAAUGCAUAAUUUUUGUAAAGAAAAUUACAAGAAAUGCAGUUCAAAGUGCUCUUCAAUGAUAAAUGACACACAGGUCAACUAGCUUAGCUAAACAGAAAGGCAUUUUAAAGCAUUAGAGAGAUUUGUUAAUGAAAGAAAAGAUCCAUAAAAGAAUAAAUCAGUGAAUAACAAAAAUUAGGCUACCUCAAUUAGUUCCCGACAUGUGAACUGGAUUCGAUUUUUGUCGAAGUCCCCUGAGAUGUGGUCCUGCUCCUUCAAAUCUUGAAAGAUAUUCAUCCAGUAUUGUGCAUGGUGUUUUCUUAAAAAUCCCCACCAUUGUUCAAUCCUUUGGUUAUGAUUACUUGAGCCGGUAAUGUAGCAUCUCUCAGAAAACUGGUCGUCAUGGUAACCUCUUAAAAGUAUCUGCAUCUGCUCCACUGAUCGGUUUUCUGUACCCAGGUCUGACCUGAUUCGGGUGGGAAUGCAGCUCCUUUUUUCCACUUCAUCAAGGAAGUUGGCAGCAAUAACACGGGGAUUGCUAUUUGUGGUGUAAGCAUGUAGCCAUAUGACCAUACGGGAAAAUCCAUUAACAGCACCAUUAAUACGGCUAGAUAAUGUGCAGAACUUUUUUUUUUUGGUGAAUGCUCAGCGCCACCACCAGUAGCCUAUGCAUAACAAAAUACCUGCUUCUUUGUCCCUCCUUUCCUUGCUCCUGUAAAAUAUUGUGAAUGUCAUUUUCUUUAUCCAGUUCUUUUCAUUUCUGCCUGUGCUGGUCAAAUUUCUUACAUUUAAAUAAAACAUGAUUAACA